AUACGUAGGUGGCAAGCGUUGUCCGGAAUUAUUGGGCGUAAAGCGCGCGCAGGUGGUUCCUUAAGUCUGAUGUGAAAGCCCCCGGCUCAACCGGGGAGGGUCAUUGGAAAUUGGGGAACUUGAGUGCAGAAGAGGAUAGUGGAAUUCCAAGUGUAGCGGUGAAAUGCGUAGAGAUUUGGAGGAACACCAGUGGCGAAGGCGACUGUCUGGUCUGUAACUGACACUGAGGCGCGAAAGCGUGGGGAGCAAACAGGAUUAGAUACCCUGGUAGUCCACGCCGUAAACGAUGAGUGCUAAGUGUUGGGGGGUUUCCGCCCCUCAGUGCUGCAGCUAACGCAUUAAGCACUCCGCCUGGGGAGUACGGUCGCAAGACUGAAACUCAAAUGAAUUGACGGGG
rnacentral:rRNA from 1 species